GACGAACUGCCGUUGACAAACGGAGGAAGGUGGGGAUGACGUCAAUCAUCAUGCCCCUUAUGUUCUGGGCUACACACGUGCUACAAUGGCCGGUACAGACGGACGCAAAGCCGCGAGGUGGAGCAAAUCCUAAAAAGCCGGUACUCAGUUCGGAUUGCAGGCUGCAAUUCGCCUGCAUGAAGUCGGAAUCGCUAGUAAUCGCAGGUCAGCAUACUGCGGUGAGUACGUUCCCGGGCCUU
rnacentral:rRNA from 1 species